UACGAAGGGGGCUAGCGUUGCUCGGAAUCACUGGGCGUAAAGCGCACGUAGGCGGAUGUGUCAGUCAGGGGUGAAAUCCCGGAGCUCAACUCCAGAACUGCCUUUGAUACUGAAGAUCUUGAGUUCGGGAGAGGUGAGUGGAACUGCGAGUGUAGAGGUGAAAUUCGUAGAUAUUCGCAAGAACACCAGUGGCGAAGGCGGCUCACUGGCCCGAUACUGACGCUGAGGCACGAAAGCGUGGGGAGCAAACAGG
rnacentral:rRNA from 1 species